UACGGAGGGGGCUAGCGUUGUUCGGAAUUACUGGGCGUAAAGCGCACGUAGGCGGCUUUGUAAGUUAGAGGUGAAAGCCCGGAGCUCAACUCCGGAAUUGCCUUUAAGACUGCAUCGCUAGAAUUGUGGAGAGGUAAGUGGAAUUCCGAGUGUAGAGGUGAAAUUCGUAGAUAUUCGGAAGAACACCAGUGGCGAAGGCGGAUCGCUGGGCCAACACUGACGCUGAGACGCGAAAGCUAGGGUAGCAAACGGG
rnacentral:rRNA from 1 species